ACUUCAAAGAGUUCUAUAUGAAAUUACGUUCAAACUCACAUCAGUCGGCCAUCCACAAUCAAACAAAGAGGUGGAGGUAACCAACCGAACGAUUCUGCAUGGACUCAAAAUCCGACUCAAUGAAGCUAAAGGUCUUUGGGUAGAAGAACUAUAUCCGAUCCUAUAGGCGUACCGGAUGACUCUUCGCAUACCAACGAGAGAAUCAUCAUUUAAUCUGGCUUAUGGAAUAGAAGUAAUGAUCCCACUCG
rnacentral:lncRNA from 1 species